CUGAAACCGUGUACGUACAAGCAGUGGGAGCACCCUUUUGGGUGUGACUGCGUACCUUUUGUAUAAUGGGUCAGCGACUUAUAUUCUGUAGCAAGGUUAACCGAAUAGGGGAGCCGGAGGGAAACCGAGUCUUAAUUGGGCGUUAAGUUGCAGGGUAUAGACCCGAAACCCGGUGAUCUAGCCAUGGGCAGGUUGAAGGUUGGGUAACACUAACUGGAGGACCGAACCGACUAAUGUUGAAAAAUUAGCGGAUGACCUGUGGCUGGGGGUGAAAGGCCAAUCAAACCGGGAGAUAGCUGGUUCUCCCCGAAAGCUAUUUAGGUAGCGCCUCGUGAAUUCAUCUCCGGGGGUAGAGCACUGUUUCGGCUAGGGGGCCAUCCCGGCUUACCAACCCGAUGCAAACUGCGAAUACCGGAGAAUGUUAUCACGGGAGACACACGGCGGGUGCUAACGUCCGUCGUGAAGAGGGAAACAACCCAGACCGCCAGCUAAGGUCCCAAAGUCAUGGUUAAGUGGGAAACGAUGUGGGAAGGCCCAGACAGCCAGGAUGUUGGCUUAGAAGCAGCCAUCAUUUAAAGAAAGCGUAAUAGCUCACUGGUCGAGUCGGCCUGCGCGGAAGAUGUAACGGGGCUAAACCAU
rnacentral:rRNA from 1 species